rnacentral:rRNA from 1 species
GACGAACGCUGGCGGCGUGCCUAACACAUGCAAGUCGAGCGGUCCUGCAUUCAACAUUGAGUAUUCAGCAGGCGUUGGAGAUGUAACCAGCGUCAAGCAGAAACGACUAUAUAUUAUAAUUUUUUGAAGUUUCUGCUUCACGCCAAAUCAAGUGCCAACACAAAGGGAGCUGAGUAUUGAAUGUUGAAUGCAGGAUAGCGGCGGACGGGUGAGUAACGCGUGGGCAACCUGCCUCAUACAGGGGGAUAACACAGGGAAACUUGUGCUAAUACCGCAUAAUAUCAUUGGGUGGCAUCACCUGAUGAUCAAAAGGAGAAAUCCGGUAUGAGAUGGGGCCCGCGUCCGAUUAGCUAGUUGGUGAGGUAACGGCUCACCAAGGCGACGAUCGGUAGCCGAACUGAGAGGUUGAUCGGCCACAUUGGGACUGAGACACGGCCCAGACUCCUACGGGAGGCAGGCAGUGGGGAAUAUU